AUUUUUGUGGUCACAUGACUAGACUAUUAUCAGCCAGAUGAAGACGUGCUGCCUGCUUCUCUGCCGUAGCCUACAUGAUUGAGGGUAGCCUACAGGUGUCUGCCCGUCCCCAGCCUGCGUCUCUCCCGGUCGGAGAAGGAGGAGUAGGAGUCAGGCCGCAAUAACCCUACGACUUAUACGAGGGAUCUACAGACUCAAUCAGUGUCUACUGGCUCACCUGUGACACCAGAGGCUCUGAACACCCUGUGGCUGGGACCAAGUAUCCUGUUAAGCUGCACAAACAUGGACAACCCAUUCAUUGCUGCCUUGAAGGACAGAGGAGUUCCUGAUGAAAACCUUGAAAAAAUGUUGCACGACAAGGUGGACCAAGACGUCUCCAGAAUGAUGGAUGAGGAAACCCUCUCCAAGUACCUACCUCAUUUUGGAGACCGUGUUUUUGCUAGAAAUUGGACUAGCACAUU